ensembl:snRNA U2 U2 spliceosomal RNA
AUCGCUUCUCGGCCUUUUGGCUAAGAGCAAGUGUAGUAUCUCUUCUUAUCAGUUUAAUGAAACCAGCUUGAACAUCUGGAAGUUCACAUUUCACGUAUUAGACAGUCUAUAAUUAACUAAGUUAUUAUUAUAUAUUGUCUGUCCUCCCUACUAGAAUGCAAACUCCACAAAGAGAGGGAUCUCUG